rnacentral:rRNA from 1 species
GAUGAACGCUAGCGGCAGGCCUAACACAUGCAAGUCGAGGGGUAGCAGGAUUAAGCUUGCUUAAUUGCUGACGACCGGCGCACGGGUGCGUAACGCGUAUGCAACCUACCUUAUACUGGGGUAUAGCCCGGAGAAAUUCGGAUUAAUCCCCCAUAGUACUAAUGAAUCGCAUGGUUUAUUAGUUAAAGCAUUGCGGUAUAAGAUGGGCAUGCGUCCUAUUAGCUAGAUGGUGAGGUAACGACUCACCAUGGCUACGAUAGGUAGGGGGCCUGAGAGGGUGGUCCCCCACACUGGUACUGAGACACGGACCAGACUCCUACGGGAGGCAGCGGUGAGGAAUAUUGGUCAAUGGGCGCAAGCCUGAACCAGCCAUGCCGCGUGCAGGAAGAAUGCCCUAUGGGUUGUAAACUGCUUUUAUUUGGGAAUAAACCUCUUUACGUGUAGAGAGCUGAAGGUACCAAAUGAAUAAGCACCGGCUAACUCCGUGCCAGCAGCCGCCGUAA